rnacentral:rRNA from 1 species
AGGACGAACGCUGGCGGCGUGCUUAACACAUGCAAGUCGAGCGAGGCCCUUCCUUCGGGAAGGUGCCCUAGCGGCGAACGGGUGAGUAACACGUGGGCAACCUGCCCCUAGCACUGGGAUAACUCCGGGAAACCGGGGCUAAUACCGGAUAUGACCUUUGAGGGCAUCCUCGAAGGUGUAAAGGAUUCUGGCUAGGGAUGGGCCCGCGGCCUAUCAGCUUGUUGGUGGGUAACGGCCUACCAAGGCGACGACGGGUA